CUGCAUGUUUAUCCAAGAGCUGUGGCUCCGUGAAAUAGCUACGGGUCUCCAACAACAUGCAAGAGCAACGGGAAGGUCUUUGACUGCUGGGCCUCUCUUGCCUGUUGCUGUCACUCGCCCCUCCUAUAUAU
rnacentral:snoRNA from 1 species